rnacentral:misc_RNA from 1 species
GAAAUGCGAUAAGUAGUGUGAAUUGCAGAAUUCAGUGAAUCAUCGAAUCUUUGAACGCACAUUGCGCCCUUUGGUAUUCCAAAGGGCAUGCCUGUUCGAGCGUCAUUUGUACCCUCAAGCUUUGCUUGGUGUUGGGCGUCUUGUCUCUAGCUUUGCUGGAGACUCGCUUUAAAGUAAUUGGCAGCCGGCCUACUGGUUUCGGAGCGCAGCACAAGUCGCACUCUCUAUCAGCAAAGGUCUAGCAUCCAUUAAGCCUUUUUUCAACUUUUGACCUCGGAUCAGGUAGGGAUACCCGCUGAACUUAAGC